GACGAACGCUGGCGGCGUGCUUAACACAUGCAAGUCGAACGGAAAGGCCCUGCUUUUGUGGGGUGCUCGAGUGGCGAACGGGUGAGUAACACGUGAGUAACCUGCCCUUGACUUUGGGAUAACUUCAGGAAACUGGGGCUAAUAUCGGAUAGGAGCUCCUGCUGCAUGGUGGGGGUUGGAAAGUUUCGGCGGUUGGGGAUGGACUCGCGGCUUAUCAGCUUGUUGGUGGGGUAGUGGCUUACCAAGGCUUUGACGGGUAGCCGGCCUGGGAGGGUGACCGGCCACAUUGGGACUGAGAUACGGCCCAGACUCCUACGGGAGGCAGCAGUGGGGAAUAUUGCACAGUGGGCGGAAGCCUGAUGCAGCAACGCCGCGUGCGGGAUGACGGCCUUCGGGUUGUAAACCGCUUUCGCCUGUGACGAAGCGUGAGUGACGGUAAUGGGUAAAGAAGCACCGGCUAACUACGUG
rnacentral:rRNA from 1 species